AUCGCUUCUCUGCCUUUUGGCUAAGAUCAAGUGUAGGAUCUGUUCUUAACAGUUUAAUAUCUGAUAUAUUUUCUAUCCGAGACCAAUAUAUUAAAUGGAUUUGGGGAGCAGGAAGACGGAAUAGGAGCUUGCUUGUUCACUUCACGCAUCGACCUGGUAUUACAGUACCUCCAGGAACAGUGCACCCCCU
ensembl:snRNA U2 U2 spliceosomal RNA